CCUACGGGCGGCAGCAGUGGGGAAUAUUGGACAAUGGGGGCAACCCUGAUCCAGCCAUGCCGCGUGUGUGAAGAAGGCCCUCGGGUUGUAAAGCACUUUCAGUGAGGAAGAACGCCUGGUGGUUAAUACCCAUCAGGAAAGACAUCACUCACAGAAGAAGCACCGGCUAACUCCGUGCCAGCAGCCGCGGUAAUACGGAGGGUGCGAGCGUUAAUCGGAAUUACUGGGCGUAAAGCGCGCGUAGGUGGCUUGAUAAGCCGGUUGUGAAAGCCCCGGGCUCAACCUGGGAACGGCAUCCGGAACUGUCAAGCUAGAGUGCAGGAGAGGAAGGUAGAAUUCCCGGUGUAGCGGUGACAUGCGUAGAGAUCGGGAGGAAUACCAGUGGCGAAGGCGGACUUCUGGACUGACACUGACACUGAGGUGCGAAAGCGUGGGUAGAAAACAGGAUUAGAUACCCGUGUAGUC
rnacentral:rRNA from 1 species